rnacentral:rRNA from 1 species
UACGUAGGGUGCAAGCGUUGUCCGGAAUUAUUGGGCGUAAAGAGCUCGUAGGCGGCUUGUCGCGUCGGCUGUGAAAACCUGGGGCUCAACCCCGGGCCUGCAGCCGAUACUGCGUGACUAGAGGUAGGUAGGGGAGAUCGGAAUUCCUGGUGUAGCGGUGAAAUGCGCAGAUAUCAGGAGGAACACCGGUGGCGAAGGCGGAUCUCUGGGCCUUACCUGACGCUCAGGCGCGAAAGCUAGGGGAGCGAACAGG